rnacentral:rRNA from 1 species
AUUGAACGCUGGCGGCAGGCUUAACACAUGCAAGUCGAGCGAGCGGCGGACGGGUGAGUAAUGUCUGGGAAACUGCCUGAUGGAGGGGGAUAACUACUGGAAACGGUAGCUAAUACCGCAUACCAUCAGAUGUGCCCAGAUGGGAUUAGCUAGUAGGUGGGGUAAUGGAUCACAUAGGCGACGAUCCCUAGCUGGUCUUAGAGGAUGACCAGCCACACUAGUACUGAGACAGUAUCCAGACUCCUACGGUAGGCAGCAGUGGGGAAUAUUGCACAAUGGGCGCAAUCCUGCUGCAGCCAUGCCGCGUGUGUACAGAAGGCCUUCGGGUUGUAAAGCACUUUCAGCGAGGAGGCGUUACUCGCAGAAGAAGCACCGGCUAACUCCGUGCCAGCCGCCGCGGUAAUAC